rnacentral:rRNA from 1 species
AAUAGGUUCGAGGUGGAAGCAUGGUGACAUGUGGAGCUGACGAAUACUAAUCGAUCGAAGACUUAAUCAAAUU